rnacentral:tRNA from 1 species
GAGAGCAUAGCUCAAGUGGUAGAGUGCAUGAUUAGCAUGCAUGAGGUCCUGGGUUCAAACCCCAGUACCUCCC